rnacentral:rRNA from 1 species
AUUGAACGCUAGCGGGAUGCCUUACACAUGCAAGUCGAACGGCAGCACGGACUUCGGUCUGGUGGCGAGUGGCGAACGGGUGAGUAAUGUAUCGGAACGUGCCCAGUAGCGGGGGAUAACUACGCGAAAGCGUAGCUAAUACCGCAUACGCCCUACGGGGGAAAGCAGGGGAUCGCAAGACCUUGCACUAUUGGAGCGGCCGAUAUCGGAUUAGCUAGUUGGUGGGGUAACGGCUCACCAAGGCGACGAUCCGUAGCUGGUUUGAGAGGACGACCAGCCACACUGGGACUGAGACACGGCCCAGACUCCUACGGGAGGCAGCAGUGGGGAAUUUUGGACAAUGGGGGAAACCCUGAUCCAGCCAUCCCGCGUGUGCGAUGAAGGCCUUCGGGUUGGAAAGCACUUUUGGCAGGAAAGAAACGUCGCGGGUUAAUACCUCGCGAAACUGACGGUACCUGCAGAAUAAGCACCGGCUAACUACGUG